rnacentral:lncRNA from 1 species
CGCCAGAUUCUGUUUUGUUGUUUUGGCAUCCGCAAGCGCAAGUUGGACAUCCGACAAUGGUCUCGUUGUAAAAAGAAGACAAAGAAACGCAGCAGGUUGGGGUUCUUUGAGCAAGGAACUGCGAGUAUGUGCACGUAAUGUUCCAUGUCACUGCAAUGAUUGAAAACUGUUAGAACGAAGACAAAUGCUACAAUAUAAAAACGUAUUCUUGAUUCUUACUCAUGGCCUGAGUGGUUCUGCGAGUGUCCGGGGUGACAAACUGGGUUGGUCUCACAAUCUUAGCAGGGCCGCAAGUGUAGCCUGGACCAGGGCCCAUGAGAGUGAAGUUUCUCGGCACGCGGACGGUUUUGUUCGUGGUUCCAGCAGCGCCAACGCUGAUCUGGAAGGAGCUAGCUGCAGUGCCAGGGUCU